CAGUAGCCGCGGUAAUACAGAGGGUGCAAGCGUUAAUCGGAAUUACUGGGCGUAAAGCGCGCGUAGGUGGUUUGUUAAGUCGGAUGUGAAAUCCCCGGGCUCAACCUGGGAACUGCAUCCGAAACUGGCAAGCUAGAGUAUGGUAGAGGGUAGUGGAAUUUCCUGUGUAGCGGUGAAAUGCGUAGAUAUAGGAAGGAACACCAGUGGCGAAGGCGACUACCUGGACUGAUACUGACACUGAGGUGCGAAAGCGUGGGGAGCAAACAGGAUUAGAUACCCCUGUAGUCCCUGUCUCUUAUAC
rnacentral:rRNA from 1 species